AAUCUUAAGUCUAAAUUUAGAGAUAUUUCAGACUUGUUUAAGUCAUUUUUGAGGUGGGGGGGAAAAAGUCUUUCUGGCUCCUUCCUAAUAAUCUCUUUUUUUCCUCUUUGCAUUCAUUACGGAUUCUCCCACAAACAAACGUCUCGUCUCUGGCAGAUUUGUGACUCUGAUCCAGGGGCGUAAUCUGUGAACGGCUUUGUCAACAUCACUGGCUGCCUAUUCACAUUACUGUUUAUCACUACCUUCCAGGAAGACGGAUAGCAAAGAAGAGGAAGAUGAAGAAGUGGGAACAGGGAAGGAGGUGAGAGGGAAGGCCAGAGAGAGGGAACGGUGAAUGAAAGAGGGAGAAGAGAAGCCUCGACAAGAGAGGAGUGGGGAAGAGCGACAACGGGGAGAGGGGGGAAUCACUCAAUCGUUUCUGCAGAAGGGAAGAGCUUUAUAUUCAGUGAUGGGAGAAAGAUGACGUUCUGGCAGGCUGACAAUGAGGCCUAAGGGGUGCUGAGGCAGGCACAGUCAGCUUUAUUCAAUGCAAAGAUCAAAGGCCAUGCUUCUUUACCCCAAAUUAGCCACCAUUUCACAGUCGCUAAAGCUCCCUCAACAACGCUACUUACUUGCGCUGCUCCUAAACAAGGCUAUUUUAUGAAAGCUUGGGCCCACUGAGGGGAGAUCGCUGGUUUGAGAAAACAGCCUGUAACAAAUCAUGAGUCCGCACUUCCAACAACCCUAGAACCUGGUCCCUAUAAUUAAUUUUGGCUGACCCAAGAAAGUCACAUCAUCAUUUUCCUGUCUUCUGGCGUGGAGAAGAUGGCUGCAGCUGAACCCUUUGGGCGACAUCAUCUAUCAGCAGCCAAUCAUGCACUGGCAUUGAAAUACAUCCUGUCGAUCGCAUCAUCAUUAGUGCUAGAGCUACAAAUGUAUCAAAUAUAAUAAUAAUAAGUAUCAAAUUGGCGGGCGGACAAUCUUUAACGCAAUCAGGUUUUUUUUUCCCUUCUACUGUGACAAACAAAAUUGGAUUUUGCUGCUAAACGCAUCGUAAAGUGCACAAAUUAGCAUAGUCAUUGUUCUUUUCAAAGUUAUUACAGCUAGUAAUUGUGAGUUAAUAAAGUUACAUGUAUGGUGAUGCAGAGGCCAGAAUACAAAAACUGCUUAUCCACAUAAUGCUCAAGAAAAGUGUUGGUAUUUAGUAUGUUUGACAUAGACGUCCAGGAAAACAACAACAAUCAGUUUGUAACAGCCUUCUGAUAUUGCUACAGCUGUUUUGUUUGUUUUUUUAAAUAUAUCAACCAGACAAAACAAGUCAGACAAAACAAGACAAGAUGCCCCCUUGGACUCUGAAGAUUGUGAAGGGCAUGUUUCCCUUUUACUGACAUUUUCUGAACCAAACAAUUAAUCUUUUAAUCAACACAAAAACUGACAGAACAAUUAACAAUAAAAAGAAUUGUUAGUUGCAGUCCUGGCCUGCAUUAUGUUGGCCAGAAAUCGAAUUUCCCUUGCAGCUACCUUACUUUUUUUGUAUUCAUAUUUUCUCUUAGAUACAUUUUGUAGCUCAUAAAAAAAUUUGCAAUGUU